AGAGUUUGAUCCUGGCUCAGGAUGAACGCUAGNGGCNGGCCUAAUACAUGCAAGUCGAACGCUCAGUAGCAAUACUGGGAGUGGCGCACGGGUGCGUAACGCGUACACAAUCUACCUCUAAGCGGGGGACACCUCCUGGAAACGGGGAUUAAUACCGCAUAAUAUGCCGAAGUCGCAUGACUUUGGUAUUAAAGCAGCAAUGCACUUAGAGAUGAGUGUGCGUCCCAUUAGGUAGUUGGUGAGGUAACGGCUCACCAAGCCUAUGAUGGGUAGCCGGUCUGAGAGGAUGGUCGGCCACACGGGCACUGAGACACGGGCCCGACUCCUACGGGAGGCAGCAGUAAGGAAUAUUGGUCAAUGGUGGAAACACUGAACCAGCCAUGCCGCGUGGAGGAAUAAGGUCCUACGGAUUGUAAACUCCUUUUGACGAGGAAGAAAAUGUUAGAUUUAUCUAAUUUUGACGGUACUCGUAGAAUAAGCACCGGCUAACUCCGUGCCAGCAGCCGCGGUAAUACGGAGGGUGCAAGCGUUAUCCGGAUUUACUGGGUUUAAAGGGUCCGCAGGUGGGGAGGUAAGUCAGUGGUGAAAUACCCGGGCUCAACUUGGGUGCUGCCAUUGAUACUGCUUUUCUUGAGUGUAGAUGAGGUGGGCGGAAUACAGCAUGUAGCGGUGAAAUGCGUAGAUAUGCUGUAGAACACCGAUUGCGAAGGCAGCUCACUAAACUACUACUGACACUCAGGGACGAAAGCGUGGGGAUCAAACAGGAUUAGAUACCCCGGUAGU
rnacentral:rRNA from 1 species